AGGGCCGGUUCCGGCGGCAGGGCGGGACUCGCGGUCUCCCGUCCCUCCCGGGGUGUGUGUGGGGGGAAUAACAUGAAGAUUUUUUGGGGUGAAAGCGCAGAAAUUAGCGAGGAGAGGCGCUAAUUUGGGUAAACUCGGUCACCGGAAGUAGAGAGCGACCGGAAAUCCUCCAAGGCCCCCGGCCCUGGGGCACCCAUAAAAAUGAUGUCGAAAUAACUAAUGAGAGACGCUUGCAACAGCUAUCAGAAGUGCACACAUUUGAGGCUUUGGAUAGUGACCCAAUGCUAGUGAAGUUAAUUGAUGCUCAAGUGUCCUGUGGGUGGUAGAGUUGAGCUGAAGCUUGGAGCUCAGGUGAUGCUAGCAAAGAAUCUGGAUGUGUCUCAAGGGCUGGUGAACGGGGCACGAGGCGUUGUUGUAGGAUUUGAAAGUGAACAGAAGGGGCUGCCUAAGGUGAGGUUUCUCUGUGGGGUCACACAGGUCAUAAGAAUGGAGAAAUGGGUCUUCAAAGGACCAUCAGGAGUUCACCUGAGUUGUCAACAGCUGCCUUUAAAGUUGGCAUGGGCCAUUUCCAUUCACAAGAGUCAGGGCAUGUCUUUAGAUUGUGUGGAAAUCUCCCUGUCUCGUGUCUUUGAAAGUGGGCAGGCUUACGUAGCCCUCUCCCGAGCCCGCAGCCUUGCAGGUCUCCGUGUUCUGGAUUUUGACCCAAAAGUAGUGAGAGCUGAUCCUUCUGUGCUGCACUUCUAUAGACAGCUGAGGCGUCAUCAGCUUUUAACCCAGGAUUCACUACACACCUAUUCAGAUGCUGAUGAGAAGGAGAAUGUGAAAUGCAGCUGAUAAUGUUCUCCUGGUUUCUGUGAAGUGUCAGCACAGACAGCUGAGAUGCAGUGAUCUUGCUAUUGAGUAUAUUUGAUAACACAGAGUGUAUAUUAAGCUGUUGUCAAUCUACAAUAAACGAAGUUCCUGGAUUCUCACAUUGAGGUGUCUAGAGCUUUCCGUCGCGACAUAGAAGUAUCCCCACCUUGUGCCUCUGGAAUUUGGAAGGCUUCUGCAGCCCCCUUCUGAGCCCACAGACCUACGUAAGCACUUCUGUGUCACAGAUGCAACUCUAGCAAACAAAAUGACUGAACAAGGAUGUUCCUGAAGGACUUUCCUAUGGUUCUAUCCUGCCUGCCUAGUUGCAUUUAAUCCUCCACAUAUAUAGACUGAAACUUGUGUCCCUUUCUUCAAGUAUACCACUGUUGUGAGAUGGAAGGUGUCCGGAUGGAUUGGACCAGUUCACAGGAGCUGCUGACACAAGGGAAAGCAGUGCUAAGUAUCUGGAAUACACACUUGAUUCUUCUGCAAGCAAGGAGCUGGGCUAUUACUUUACAGCAUGCUGAGGUGUUCCAGAUGCUUGACACCAGGAGGCUUUGCAAAACUUCCUCCACAAGCAGAACUGCCAGUUACAUAUUGCUUGUUAUGCUGAUAUGUAGUGUUUUUAUUAGUCUGUUGCAUAAGAUGUGAUUUUUAUUUUUUUAACCCUCUGAGAUGAACUGGCACUGUUUAAAGACAGGAGGAAUUCCUACAUCUUAUACCUGUAAUUAUGGAACUACAAGAAUUGUGAAGUUCUGUUACUCCAUUAGGGAGAAGAUGGGUACUGGUGAGAGUUCCUCUUGUUAAAACAUGAGGCUUGCUCAAAUGAAAGUUGUCCCUGGAAAAAACCUGUCUGACUAAUAAGGUGGAAGUUUAGUGUGAAAUAGGGAAUAAUGGCUAUGGACAUGUGAAGUGAGCUGUAAUGUCACCUGUUUCAGCAAAAGCAGAGAUAAGCAGAACUAAUAUACUGUCUUAAUUAAGGCAAAGCUUUGGUCUUUGUAUUUUAGCACUUUGUUUAAAGCUUAAGUGACUUGUAUAUUUUAAAAUGUUUAACAUCUUAAAACAUGACAUAACAUUCAGCUGGAACUCAUCUCUUUCAGGGUUAUGUCUCUAACAAAACCUCUGCUGUGUGAGUGAGUUGAAAGUCACUUCUUGGCAGCUGCUCUCCUUAAAGCCAGGAAAGGAUGUUGAUUAGCCAGUGGUUAAUAUAGCAGAAAACAGUUUUAAUAGGAUUUCAAAAUGCAUAUUUUAAGUGGGGGUUGAGGGUUUUUUUUCUGGGCUUGAAAGGUAGAGUUUUGGAGGGAGUCAUAGUAGAAGACAGAAGUGUGACUAUUAUUCAGAGGGGCUCUUAAUGUAUCAGCACAUUGUUUCUUCAAAGAAGUCUGGUGGGGAGUGGAUGAAGUAGCUGGAACCUGUGGAAGACAAGCCCUUUCCCCCUCACACUGCAAGCUGUAAACUUUUUAAAUUAUUUUUUUUAAACAACACAUCCCAAUUCUUUGAGCUGGAUGUAAGCUGUUUGUCCACCUUGGGGAGAAACUGAAGAUUAACUUCUCCCUGCCCACACAGCUGGCAAGGAGGGUGCUGGCACACUAAAGCAUCAUUUCUGGUGCAGAUGAGCACUGAGGUGUGAUUGUUUGGCCUGCAGCUUCCAGAGCUUCCACUAGAGCUGGGUGAGGGCCUGACUGUUGCAGGCUGUGUCCCCCAGCUGACAGUGCCAGUACCCAGGUGGGGUGCCCAUGAGCACGGUGUGCUCAGAUUCAGCCCCCUCCUCCUGUGGUAGGACACAGGGGGUGCAGGUGUGGCAGGCUGGCUCUAGCCUUUGCUUGGACACCUCUUGUUCCCCCAGCUGCUGUGUCCCCAUCUUGAAGCACUCUUGCUCUUUCCUCAUGCUGCUGUUCUGCAGUGGGUGCCUUGGCACAGAAUCUGUGCUGUGCCACUCAUGCCUCCUGUGUAAUUCCAGCUGUGCCUCAAUGUGCAUCCUCCACCUUGGUGUGGGUUGAGUUUUUGCUUUUGUUCACCCCCCAUGCCCCUUGUGCAGGUGGCAGAGGCUGUGGGUACCCUGAUCAUCAGGGCAAGGCUGUCCAGGCAGGCAGGGAUGCCCAAGGGGUAGCCUUAAAGCCUGUAUGCUUGGUCAGGGGGCUGGGCUGGGUCCAGUUUGCACUCUUUUUAGAGAUGGGAUGCUGCAGUAUGAGGGCUUUGUGUUGCACUGGAGGUUGAGUUGUGGGAUCUGAAAUGCCCAGAAUGUCAGUGGGUUUUACUCUUGGGGUAGACGGCUAGGAAGGAUAUGCCAGGCAUGUCCAGUCAUACACAAUACAUUGAUUUACUGACAGGUUGCAUAAGAGUGAUGAGAUAAUGCAGGCUCAAAUCCUUUAACAUCUCUUAAAAAGUUCCUGUAUUGCUGCAAUGAAAAGAUAACUUAGAGUGUAGGAGUGGUGAUUAUGCAAAUAAACUUCUAAUUGUGAUUUUAAGAAGCAACUCACUUGACUGUAGUUUUCCUGGAUAUAGGGACUGAAAUCUUUCCAGUUGUGUGGCAGUUUUUUUGGUGCCAAGCUGAGGUUUGAGAUAAAAUGCUAAACAGAACUUAAAGCUGGAAAGGCUAAUCAAUAUUUCAUGUUAGUAUUAAAUAUACAUGAAAUAUUGUGGUUGCCUUCUCAAUGAUGGAACUGUGGGAGCAGAAUAGUGGUGGCUUUUGAAGGGCUGGAGCUGUUCUGAGGCCAAAAGGGGUCUGUCUGUGUAAAUUUUGGAUGUUCUUACUUCCAGCUAAAGCAGAUGUAGGGAGGGAGGCUGUGUCUGGAGGCUGCUAUUUAAAUCAGAAAAGAAGCAGUCAGGACAAAUCUGAGCUGUCAGGCUCUGUCAUGGCUCCCCUUCAGUCAGGGUUGUGAUGAGGCCUUUUUUAACAGAAUAAUACUUCCAUAUAUACAUGAGGUAAAAAUCUUGUAAUACAAUAAAUAUCCCUUCUUCCAA